rnacentral:rRNA from 1 species
GAACGCUAUCGGUAUGCUUAACACAUGCAAGUUGAACGGAUUAUUUAGGGCUUGCUCUAAAUAAUUAGUAGCAAACGGGUGAGUAACACGUGGGAAUCUGCCCAUCAGUACGGAAUAACACUUAGAAAUAAAUGCUAAUACCGUAUAUUCUCUUAGGAGGAAAGAUUUAUCGCUGAUGGAUGAGCCCGCGUCAGAUUAGGUAGUUGGUAGGGUAAUGGCCUACCAAGCCAACGAUCUGUAGCUGGUCUGAGAGGAUGAUCAGCCACACUGGGACUGAGACACGGCC